CAGUCGCCGCGGUAAAACGGAGGGAGCUAGCGUUACUCGGAAUUACUGGGCGUAAAGCGCACGUAGGCGGCUUUGUAAGUUAGAGGUGAAAGCCUGGAGCUCAACUCCAGAAUUGCCUUUAAGACUGCAUCGCUUGAAUCCAGGAGAGGUGAGUGGAAUUCCGAGUGUAGAGGUGAAAUUCGUAGAUAUUCGGAAGAACACCAGUGGCGAAGGCGGCCAUCUGGGACAACACUGACGCUGAGGCACGAAAGCGUGGGAAGCAAACAGGAUUAGAUACCCGUGUAGUCCCUGUCUCUUAUAC
rnacentral:rRNA from 1 species